rnacentral:rRNA from 1 species
GACAGAGGGUGCAAACGUUGCUCGGAAUUACUGGGCGUAAAGCGCGUGUAGGUGGAUUGGUGUGUCAGAUGUGAAAGCCCUGGGCUCAACCCAGGAACUGCACCUGAAACUACCAGUCUUGAGUGGUGGAGAGGGAAGUGGGAAUUCCGUGGUGUAGAGGUGAAAUUCGUAGAUAUCGGGAAGAACACCCGGUGGCGAAGGCGGCUCUCUGGGACGGUACUGGACGGCUGAGACGCGAAAAGCGUGGGGGAGCGAACAGGG